rnacentral:rRNA from 1 species
GACGAACGUUGGCUGCGUGCUUAACACAUGCAAGUCGAACGCUGAAGCCCGAAGCUUGCUUCGGGUGGAUGAGUGGCGAACGGGUGAGUAACACGUGAGUAACCUGCCCCUGAUUUCGGGAUAAGCCUGGGAAACCGGGUCUAAUACCGGAUACGACCAACCCUCGCAUGAGGGUUGGUGGAAGGUUUUUCGAUCGGGGAUGGGCUCGCGGCCUAUCAGCUUGUUGGUGGGGUAAUGGCCUACCAAGGCGACGACGGGUAGCCGGCCUGAGAGGGCGACCGGCCACACUGGGACUGAGACACGGCCCAGACUCCUACGGGAGGCAGCAGUGGGGAAUAUUGCACAAUGGGGGAAACCCUGAUGCAGCGACGCAGCGUGCGGGAUGACGGCCUUCGGGUUGUAAACCGCUUUCAGCAGGGAAGAAGCGAAAGUGACGGUACCUGCAGAAGAAGUACCGGCUAACUACGUGCCAGCCGCCGCAGUAA